UGAACGCUGGCGGUAGGCCUAACACAUGCAGUCGAACGGCAGCACAGGAGAGCUUGCUCUCUGGGUGGCGAGUGGCGGACGGGUGAGGAAUGCAUCGGAAUCUACUCUUUCGUGGGGGAUAACGUAGGGAAACUUACGCUAAUACCGCAUACGACCUACGGGUGAAAGCCGGGGACCUUCGGGCCUGGCGCGAAAGAAUGAGCCGAUGCCCGAUUAGCUAGUUGGCGGGGUAAGAGCCCCACCAAGGCGACGAUCGGUAGCUGGUCUGAGAGGAUGAUCAGCCACACUGGAACUGAGACACGGUCCAGACUCCUACGGGAGGCAGCAGUGGGGAAUAUUGGACAAUGGGCGCAAGCCUGAUCCAGCCAUACCGCGUGGGUGAAGAAGGCCUUCGGGUUGUAAAGCCCUUUUGUUGGGAAAGAAAAGCAGUCGGUUAAUACCCGAUUGUUCUGACGGUACCCAAAGAAUAAGCACCGGCUAA
rnacentral:rRNA from 1 species